CCAUUAAAGCGGUACGCGAGCUGGGUUCAGAACGUCGUGAGACAGUUCGGUCCCUAUCUGUCGUGGGCGCAGGAAAUUUGAGAGGAGCUGUCCUUAGUACGAGAGGACCGGGAUGGACGCACCGCUGGUGCACCAGUUGUUCCGCCAGGAGCACAGCUGGGUAGCUAUGUGCGGUCGGGAUAAGCGCUGAAAGCAUCUAAGCGUGAAGCCCCCCUCAAGAUGAGAUUUCCCACAGCAUAAGCUGGUAAGACCCCUUAAAGAUGAUGAGGUAGAUAGGUUCGGGGUGGAAGCGUGGCAACACGCGGAGCUGACGAAUACUAAUCGGUCGAGGGCUUAACCAA
rnacentral:rRNA from 1 species